rnacentral:lncRNA from 1 species
UGCUCUUUCCCCCAGCUGCCCUCUUCUCGGCUUAGGUAUCUGCUUUCCACUCCAGGGGCCGGAAGGGCAGACAGAACUCUUCAUUUGCCUCACCAAUCAACAUUUCAACUACUUAAUUUUGUGGACAGCUUCUUCUGCUGGGCCUAGUGAAACCCAGGAGGAACACGUUGCGAAGAGGAGAAUGUGGAGUACAUUCCAAAUUUCUGCCCUACUUCUCCAUCAGCAGCUUUCAGUUUCUAGCUGAACGUGAUUAUCAGCUAUGCUACACCCUACACCGGCAGAAUCAGAGUAUCUGAGGCUGGACUCAGGUACUGAGUCCUGAGUGUUGUUUUGGUUUGGUUUUUGGCAGUAUUAGAGAAUGAACCCAGGGUCUUCUCACUCAGUUACAUUUGCAGCCCUUCAUUUAGUUUUGUGUUUUUCUGAGACAGGGUCUUGCUAAGGCAUUAAAUUUCCUGGGCUGGGCUCAAACUUCUGAUCUUGCCUCAGCCUUCCAGAGUGCUGGGAUUACAGAAAUGUGCCCCCAAGCCAGGCU